rnacentral:tRNA from 1 species
GGGUGUGUAUUUCAGCGGCAGAAAAACCGUCUCAUAAACGGUAAGUCGCCCGUUCGAAUCGGGCCACACCCA